UACGUAGGGGGCAAGCGUUGUCCGGAAUCAUUGGGCGUAAAGAGCGUGUAGGCGGCUCGGUAAGUCCGCUGUGAAAGUCCAGGGCUCAACCCUGGAAUGCCGGUGGAAACUGUCGAGCUAGAGUCCGGAAGAGGCGAGUGGAAUUCCUGGUGUAGCGGUGAAAUGCGCAGAUAUCAGGAGGAACACCGAUGGCGAAGGCAGCUCGCUGGGACGGUACUGACGCUGAGGCGCGAAAGUGUGGGGAUCAAACAGG
rnacentral:rRNA from 1 species